rnacentral:rRNA from 1 species
UAUUACGAACCACAGUUUAAAAUUCAAAGAACUUGGCGGUGUCUUAUAAAACCAGGGGAACCUGUCUCAUAACUCGAUAGUCCACGACUAACACAACCUCUUCUUGAAAUUCAGCUUGUGUACUGCCGUUGUAAGCACACCUCUAAAAGAAGUUUGCUACUAUGACACCACCACACGUGACUCAUAUACAUCAGGUCAAAGUGCAGCUAAUAAAGAGGUGAUGAUGGGUUACAACCUAAAAAAGAAAUAGAUUAAAAACUAAAAAAUUUUAUAAAAGUGGACUUGACUGUAAUUGAUUACCAUUAUAA